UCAUCAGUUUUUUUUAAAACUACACCUGAUUAAAUUAAUGUUAAUAU
rfam:Acyrthosiphon pisum strain LSR1 Contig41553, whole genome shotgun sequence.